rnacentral:rRNA from 1 species
AUUGAACGCUGGCGGCAGGCCUAACACAUGCAAGUCGAACGGUAGCACAGAGAGCUUGCUCUCGGGUGACGAGUGGCGGACGGGUGAGUAAUGUCUGGGAAACUGCCCGAUGGAGGGGGAUAACUACUGGAAACGGUAGCUAAUACCGCAUAACGUCGCAAGACCAAAGUGGGGGACCUUCGUGCCUCACACCAUCGGAUGUGCCCAGAUGGGAUUAGCUAGUAGGUGGGGUAAUGGAUCACCUAGGCGACGAUCCCUAGCUGGUCUGCGAGGAUGACCAGGCACACUGGAACUGAGACACGGUCCAGACUCCUACGGGAGGCAGCAGUGGGGAAUAUUGCACAAUGGGCGCAAGCCUGAUGCAGCCAUGCCGCGUGUAUGAAGAAGGCCUUCGGGUUGUAAAGUACUUUCAGCGGGGAGGAAGGCGGUGAAGUUAAUAGCUUCACCGAUUGACGUUACCCGCAGAAGAAGCACCGGCUAACUCCGUGCCAGCCGCCGCCGUAA